AGUGACUCCUUCAAAAUGAACGCACAUUUAGAAGAUUUAGGACACUGAAGACCGGUUUCCCUGUUAUUGACACAAGUCGAUGAAGGGUACACGGCUCGUGGACUUACACCUCAUGACCACUGGGCGGCAGCAUUGGACGUACCUGAAGUUUGGAGGCUCCUCCCUUGAUGAGGCCACAGAUGAUCUGCUCCACCCUCUCGGGGUCUCUCAUGUGAACCGUCUUCUUCUCAAACUGGGGCAUCUGCAGGAGGAAGAUUGACACUUUUUUAUUUGUCAAGGCAAAGAACAAAACAAGACGCCAAAGCUACACAUGUUUGCACCCGGACUGGUUGUGUGUGAACAUGUUUCAGCUUCACAUUCAUGUGAAGAAGAAGAUGAGGAGCAUGAUGAAGAGUUCCCGUCGAGCCUUUUCAAACAAAUACAAAAACCGAGGCACCAUGGUACCACUGAACGCGCUCAUGCACCCAAAAGACUAUGUGGAAGCAUGCAAGUGCACCAAUGGAGGUCAAGUUACGCCGAGGGAGACAUGCGUGGCGUGCGUGGUAUGCCAGUGUAACCAGAGAAGAGCACUUCCAAGGCCUCUUGUCGAAUGUUUAACAUGUCCCGACUGUGAAUAAGUAGGUCAACGCUCUCACGUUACGCUGUAAUAACGCUACCAUGUCCUAUAUUGCAUCAGCCUGUUUGUGUUUAGCGCUGACGACGCCGCUUGGCUGUUCCACAACAGCUGUUUACAACACACGCUGCUUAGGUAGUCAACUUUAGGGUUGAACAUAGUAUAAUACACAUGAACAUCACGGCUGGUUUAAUCGCUGCUUAUCUGAACAUAUAGCUUCGAGAUACAGUAAGCAUCAUCAGCGACAUCAUCAUGCUAACUGGAUCAUUAUGUGCCAAUCACACGCUCUCCUUAAGGUCACACCUGACCCACAUACACCUGAGCAGACGUCAUCAGCCAAUACGAGAUUACUAACGCUGAGCAUUGUAAACUUUUUUUGAGCCUGCACAAAGUCUAACAGUGUAACAUGAUAGCGAGCAAAAAGCGCCGCCAUAUUGACCGAGCUUUGAUGGACAACGGCGAUGCGCCUUUGUGUGGCUUGACGACGUCAGUGACCUUCAAACGACACGUCUGACAGAUGCAGGCCGCUGCUUGCUAAUCUCCGCAUGCAAUAUGUCGGUGUAGAGGCCUUUGUAAAGGCUAUUCCUUCUCUCUACCCCAGGGGUGACAGUAAAGUUGUAAAUUUACAAGAAAAAACUCCUGACUUUAUGUUACAGGCAUUGCCUGAGACAGCUAAAGGGGGGGACUUAUGUGACCUUUGGCCUUGGGCGAAGGUUAUAUUACGACUUUUUUCUCAUAAAGUUAUGACAUUUUUUCUCGUAAAUUUACAAUAAUUUUUAAAAUAUUAUUUUAUUAUUUAUUUUAAUACUGCGUCGUAACAGGCAUUGCCUGAGACAGCUACGAAAAGGGGGGACUUAUGUGACCUUUGGCCUUGGGCAAAGGUAAUAUUACGGCUUUCUCAUAAAUUUAUUACUUUAUUCUGAAAAUCUCAUGUUUUUUUUCCCCAAUGUGUGGCCCUAAAGCUCCGUCGUAGUUUUUCAUAAUAGUAGACUUUUAAAAUAAUUAGUUUUCCUUUAAUAUUUUAACUUUAUGCUAAUAAAAUGUUUAUAAUGUUGUUUUUGCAAAAUUACACCUUUUUUUCUCUUAAUAUUUAGACUUUAUUCUUGUAAAAUUAUUGCUACUUCCAUUUUUACUGUUUUUUUUUGUAGUUUUCUUGUUAAAUUACAUUUUUAGAAUGUGAGGCAGGCCAAUAAGAAACCUGCUGCAGGCCGCACUUUGAGCAUCCCUGCUGUAGCCUUUUGUUCCUGUUUUUUUUAGGACCGAGUACCUAUCGGUGAAGUAGUCCACACUCACACAAUUUGAAAGGUUUUCAAUUUGUAUAAAAAAAAUAAGAGCAGUAUAUUUGGUUACAGUGCUGGACUCCAGCAUCAACGAGGGAGAUCAAAGAAGAGCCCGGAAUGAGAGUACACACUCUACUGUAUGUAGCAGUGGCCCCUCCCCUCUAGAAAGUUGAAGUUACGUUUGUGUUGAAGUGAAAGUUAACGCCCCUAUGUGCAUGGCCUGUCUUACGGCAAAUCUACAGCGUAAAGACCCUGAACGUUACACCAUGACCUUGCAAGGGAAGCUGCUCUAGUUGCCAUGGUGACAGCCAUCUGUUGUUGCUGAUAAAGAAGCAUGGCCACUGCGGGAAGUUUAUCGAGUGUUUAAGCUUCUGUAAGCUUGCCGGACAGACAAAAUGGUGAAUGAAUAUAUUGUUUACUGUCACACAAAACACACUGUAGAACUUCUCCUUCGAAUAAACAUCAACCUGCUGACCUUGCAACAACGCACUGAAGGCUGUGGCCUUAUCUUGAGGCACUAUGAGCAACGAGCGCCACCUGCUGGUGUGAAGCGUACUUGUUAUUUAUUUGUGGAAACGAGCUCAAAGUGUUUAUAUAGUUUCUACUUCUGUGACCUUGAACGUAUUUGUGUCCUGAUGUCGUCUACUUGUGAGGCGUUAUGACAAUACUUACACUGUGAACGGAGCUGUUAUGUGUCCUAACAAAAACAUUGUUUAAAACCCCUGCAAAUUAGCAUCUGCAAAUUAGAGUACAACCACAUGCAAGCCAUGUGGUUGUACUCACAAUACAUCAGCUUCAGGACAGACACUCAUUAAACGUGAUGCAUGAAAAAAAUAGCUUGUAUCUAAUAAGUUUCGGACGAGAAACCAUCCAUCAGUAACAAGACAAGACAAGACAAUUAAGGAAUGUGUUGUUGUUUUAUGCCUUGUAUAGAUGCUUAAGAAAACACAUGGUUUCCAGACUCUAAAAGGGUCAGGACAGGAAGUAUGCUUGAGGCCACACUUUUGUUGUGCACAUGCUUUUGUUCAAAAACAUGCCAGUGCGGAGGCCAGCGAGAGGGAAUCUGCUCUAAAAUAAAAGACGACAGGAAUGUGUAUGUGUCUUUAUGGGUAAAGGCUGCAAACAUGUGCUUUAUACGUGUUAGGGUGGAGCCACAUACCUUUGACAUGAAUCAUGCUGCCAGCAGCUAAGUUUAAUUGAAACAUACACGAAUAAUGAAAUUGCAUUGGAACUCCUUACAAACAUUGCAUAUGGUCACUUUGACAUCUAAAAGCUGAUCUCUCUUUGCAGAUUUUGAUGCAGCUCUUGGUGUACCUAAUGUUGUGACCUGUGAAUGUUGCUGAUGCUAUUUAUUGGACAGGGAGAGGGAACAGAGCUGAACAGCAGCAGUAAGCAACUUCCGGUGGGCUGUCAAAAUGUCUCCUGCUGCGAUUUGUUAUAA